rnacentral:rRNA from 1 species
AUUGAACGCUGGCGGCAUGCUUUACACAUGCAAGUCGAACGGCAGCGCGGGGCAACCUGGCGGCGAGUGGCGAACGGGUGAGUAAUAUAUCGGAACGUACCCAGAAGUGGGGGAUAACGUAGCGAAAGUUACGCUAAUACCGCAUACGAUCUACGGAUGAAAGUGGGGGAUCGCAAGACCUCAUGCUUUUGGAGCGGCCGAUAUCUGAUUAGCUAGUUGGUAGGGUAAAGGCCUACCAAGGCGACGAUCAGUAGCUGGUCUGAGAGGACGACCAGCCACACUGGGACUGAGACACGGCCCAGACUCCUACGGGAGGCAGCAGUGGGGAAUUUUGGACAAUGGGCGCAAGCCUGAUCCAGCAAUGCCGCGUGAGUGAAGAAGGCCUUCGGGUUGUAAAGCUCUUUUGUCAGGGAAGAAACGGCCGAGGCUAAUACCUUUGGCUAAUGACGGUACCUGAAGAAUAGGCACCGGCUAACUACGUG